AUGAACGCUGGCGGCGUGGAUAAGGCAUGCAAGUCGAACGGUUUUCUUUAUUGAAGAAGAUGCGAUUACAUCAAAUUAACAGAUAUUUUGAAAACAGUGGCGAACGGGUGAGUAACACGUAGGAAACCUACCCUUAAGAGGGGGAUAAUGUCGAGAAAUUGGCACUAAUACCCCAUAAGACUACGAAAUGAGAAGUUCGUGGUAAAAGUCUUGAGAAAUCGGGAUGCUGAAGGAUGGGCCUGCGGCCUAUCAGGUAGUUGGUGGGGUAAAGG
rnacentral:rRNA from 1 species